AUUUUGGUGGCUAUAUGGAGGUUCAAGUGAUUUGGCAUCUGGUGAUGGUUAUGGAAGCUAUGGAAGUUCACAGCUUGGUGGUAGUGGUGGUGGUGCUUAUGGAGCUUAUGGAAGUUAUUCUUUAGGACGGUCUAGUGGCUAUGGGUCUACUCAUAAUGGUUCUUCUCGAAGGAGAAACCAUGCUUACUAAAACUUGAUGGGUCCCU